GACGAACGCUGGCGGCGUGCCUAAUACAUGCAAGUAGAACGCACAGUUUAUACCGUAGCUUGCUACACCAUAGACUGUGAGUUGCGAACGGGUGAGUAACGCGUAGGUAACCUGCCUGGUAGCGGGGGAUAACUAUUGGAAACGAUAGCUAAUACCGCAUAAUAUUAAUUAUUGCAUGAUAAUUAAUUGAAAGGUGCAAUUGCACCACUACCAGAUGGACCUGCGUUGUAUUAGCUAGUAGGUGAGGUAACGGCUCACCUAGGCGACGAUACAUAGCCGACCUGAGAGGGUGAUCGGCCACACUGGGACUGAGACACGGCCCAGACUCCUACGGGAGGCAGCAGUAGGGAAUCUUCGGCAAUGGACGAAAGUCUGACCGAGCAACGCCGCGUGAGUGAAGAAGGGUUUCGGAUCGUAAAGCUCUGUUGUAAGAGAAGAACGGGUGUGAGAGUGGAAAGUUCACACUGUGACGGUAUCUUACCAGAAAGGGACGGCUAAUUACGUG
rnacentral:rRNA from 1 species